UUUGUCCUUUUGACAUUAUGCUCCGUUAGCUGGCUAGUGAGAGUGACUGCCCUGUAAUCAGGGUGCAAGUCACCUCCCCCUCGCUUUCGAGGGACAUUGAGCUCUUUGGUAACUUGAGCAAUGUGACCGCCCUGUAACUAGGGUCCGGCUCUCUGCCCACUUGCUCAUGUGGCAUUACGCCUUGUUGUAGCCCUGUAGUCGGGAUGACAACCCUGUAAUCAGGGUGCAAGUCAUAUUCCUUUUGCUUCUGGGAGAUACUGAGCUCUUUGGAACCCUGAGCAGGGUGACUCACCUCCCUGUAAUUCGGAGUCAGGUCUCUGCCAUCUUGCUGUUUUGCCAUCAUGCCCUGCUGAGAGUCUACUCACUGUGACCACCUGUAAUUCAGGUGCGUGUCACAAGUUUCUGUAGUAUGGGAUAUACUGAGCCCUUUGAUACCUUGUGGGGCGUGACCGCCCUGUAAUUCGGGGUCGGGUCUCUGCCUUUUUGCUCCCUGGCUUUAUGCACCUUUAUCUUUCUAAUCGGAAAGACCACACCGUAAUUAGGGUGCAGGUCGAAACCCUCUCAUUUAUCAGGGAUUAGGGUUAUUUUAGGGCCCUUCGGAGCAUGACCGCCCUGUAAUCGGGGUUCAGGUCUCAAGUUGUCUUCUCUGAUUAUGCUCUUUAAUUCAGCUAGUCAGAGUGACCACCUUGUAAUCAGGGUGAGAGUCACAAUCUCCUCGCUUACGGGAGCUACUGAUGUCUUUGUUACUUGAGCCGGGUGACCUCCCUGUUACUAGGGUUCAGGUCUCUGCCCUUUGCUCUUCUGGGAUUGCGUCUUGUUCUCAGCCUGGUCAGUACGACUGCCCUGUAAUUAGGGUGCAGGUCAUGCGCCUCUUAUUUAGGGAGGACUAGGUUCCCCUUAAUGCGUUGGGCUGAGUGACCACCUGUAAGUAGGGUUCAGGUCUCCCCCUUUUCUCUUACUUGUGAUGGAUUUUCCGUUAAUCGGGUAGCCCGAUGGACCGCCCUGUAAGAAGGGUUCAGGUCCUUUCCCCUGUGGCUCCUUUGGGUUGUUGGGCUACUCACUUUGACCCCACCCUGUAAUCAGGGUGCAGGUCUUGUCCCUUUUCCCUUUGGUUUUUUGAGGGGAGGAAGAUUGGUCGAGUUUAACACUGUGGGUCGAGUGACCUCUUUCGAUGAGCUCUCUUUCUGUUCUGGGAAGUCCCCCUUUGUUUUGUACGGAUGUGUUUGUGAGAGCACGUGAUAGAAGUGGGUGUGCAAGCUUUUUAAUUUUUAGUUAUUUAUUUUUAUUUUUUUAAGUUAAAUCGCUGCAGCACUUUUUCUUUACUCUUCUCAGAAUCGGAAAAAGAGCUCAAAGUGUAUUAAUGUUUUUAUCCUCCUCCUCCCCACAAAAGGGAAGAGUAAGGGCUCAGUUGUCAUCUUUUAGUGCCGUGGACAGUGUGACCUCCCUGUAAACAGGGAUCUGGUCUCUCCAUUUUGGCUGAGUUCCAUUUAGUGGGCUGAUGACAAUGACUGGCCUUUAAGGAGGCGGAUUUAGCUCAGGUGCCUGUGACUCACAGGAAGUACAGCAUGCCUUAGUACUUGGGCAGCAUGGCCACCCUGUAUCGAGGGUUCAGGUCUCUGCCCUUUGUUCUUUUGCCACCCUGCUACUUCAGCCGGUUGGUUUGAGUCCUGACCUUGUAAUUAAGGGAUUGUCUGUGUCCUUCUGCCUUCUGGGGGAUAUUGAGCUCUGUGGAACCCUGAGCAGUCUGACCGCCCUGUAACUAGGGUUCAGGUCUCUGCCACUUGCUUAUUUGGCAUUAGGCCAUGCUCUGGUCAACUAGUCAGCGGGACAACCCUGUCAUUAGGGUACAUGUCACAAAUAUCUAUAGAAUGGGACAUAUUGAGCCUUUUGGUACUUUGAGGAGCUUGACCUUCCUGUAAUUCAGGUUACGGUCUCUGCUGUUUGGCUAAUCCCUGUGACCACCCUGUAAUCAGGGUACAGGUUGCAUCUCUCUUUUGAAAUCUUAUGGAAUUGGAACCAUUUCAGUAACAUGGGCAGUUUGACCUCCCUGUAACUAGGGUUUGAGUCUUGGAGGCCCUUUGGGGCUCUUGGCAUUGUGCUUUCUUCACAGCCUGAGGCGAGGGACCGCCCUGUAAUCAGGGCUCUGGUCUUUGCCCUCUAGUCUCUUGGCACUAGGUCAAGUGCAGCCCACUGAUCUGAAUGAGCACCCUGUAAACAGGGUACAGGUCUCAUCAGACACUAUUUAUGGUGCCCCCAUGAGACUGUGUCCAGAGUCCUGGCCCUUUGCACUGCGCUUUCAACUUGCCUGGAAUUGUGCAGCCAAGUCUCCUGCUUUCUGCUCCGCUUACUGUGCUCUUGGAGACCCGAGCUCCUGCUGCUGUUGCUGACAGCUCGAAGCACAAGUGGCCAAGAAGGAAGUGUCAGGAAUGUCAAGCAAAGAAGAGUACAGAGGACAAGUCACUGAAGAUGGAGGAGAAGGAAAGGGACUCUGGGCGCAGUGACCUCUCUGUAUCAGGCCUCAGGUCAUGUAAUUACACUGUACGGAGAUCUCGAGCCUUUUAAUACCUUGAGCAGCGUGACCGCCCUGUAAGCAGGGUCCAGGCCUGUGCUGUUUUGUCCUUUUGACAUUAUGCUCCGUUAGCUGGCUAGUGAGAGUGACUGCCCUGUAAUCAGGGUGCAAGUCACCUCCCCCUCGCUUUCGAGGGACAUUGAGCUCUUUGGUAACUUGAGCAAUGUGACCGCCCUGUAACUAGGGUCCGGCUCUCUGCCCACUUGCUCAUGUGGCAUUACGCCUUGUUGUAGCCCUGUAGUCGGGAUGACAACCCUGUAAUCAGGGUGCAAGUCAUAUUCCUUUUGCUUCUGGGAGAUACUGAGCUCUUUGGAACCCUGAGCAGGGUGACUCACCUCCCUGUAAUUCGGAGUCAGGUCUCUGCCAUCUUGCUGUUUUGCCAUCAUGCCCUGCUGAGAGUCUACUCACUGUGACCACCUGUAAUUCAGGUGCGUGUCACAAGUUUCUGUAGUAUGGGAUAUACUGAGCCCUUUGAUACCUUGUGGGGCGUGACCGCCCUGUAAUUCGGGGUCGGGUCUCUGCCUUUUUGCUCCCUGGCUUUAUGCACCUUUAUCUUUCUAAUCGGAAAGACCACACCGUAAUUAGGGUGCAGGUCGAAACCCUCUCAUUUAUCAGGGAUUAGGGUUAUUUUAGGGCCCUUCGGAGCAUGACCGCCCUGUAAUCGGGGUUCAGGUCUCAAGUUGUCUUCUCUGAUUAUGCUCUUUAAUUCAGCUAGUCAGAGUGACCACCUUGUAAUCAGGGUGAGAGUCACAAUCUCCUCGCUUACGGGAGCUACUGAUGUCUUUGUUACUUGAGCCGGGUGACCUCCCUGUUACUAGGGUUCAGGUCUCUGCCCUUUGCUCUUCUGGGAUUGCGUCUUGUUCUCAGCCUGGUCAGUACGACUGCCCUGUAAUUAGGGUGCAGGUCAUGCGCCUCUUAUUUAGGGAGGACUAGGUUCCCCUUAAUGCGUUGGGCUGAGUGACCACCCUGUAAGUAGGGUUCAGGUCUCCCCCUUUUCUCUUACUUGUGAUGGAUUUUCCGUUAAUCGGGUAGCCCGAUGGACCGCCCUGUAAGAAGGGUUCAGGUCCUUUCCCCUGUGGCUCCUUUGGGUUGUUGGGCUACUCACUUUGACCCCACCCUGUAAUCAGGGUGCAGGUCUUGUCCCUUUUCCCUUUGGUUUUUUGAGGGGAGGAAGAUUGGUCGAGUUUAACACUGUGGGUCGAGUGACCUCUUUCGAUGAGCUCUCUUUCUGUUCUGGGAAGUCCCCCUUUGUUUUGUACGGAUGUGUUUGUGAGAGCACGUGAUAGAAGUGGGUGUGCAAGCUUUUUAAUUUUUAGUUAUUUAUUUUUAUUUUUUUAAGUUAAAUCGCUGCAGCACUUUUUCUUUACUCUUCUCAGAAUCGGAAAAAGAGCUCAAAGUGUAUUAAUGUUUUUAUCCUCCUCCUCCCCACAAAAGGGAAGAGUAAGGGCUCAGUUGUCAUCUUUUAGUGCCGUGGACAGUGUGACCUCCCUGUAAACAGGGAUCUGGUCUCUCCAUUUUGGCUGAGUUCCAUUUAGUGGGCUGAUGACAAUGACUGGCCUUUAAGGAGGCGGAUUUAGCUCAGGUGCCUGUGACUCACAGGAAGUACAGCAUGCCUUAGUACUUGGGCAGCAUGGCCACCCUGUAUCGAGGGUUCAGGUCUCUGCCCUUUGUUCUUUUGCCACCCUGCUACUUCAGCCGGUUGGUUUGAGUCCUGACCUUGUAAUUAAGGGAUUGUCUGUGUCCUUCUGCCUUCUGGGGGAUAUUGAGCUCUGUGGAACCCUGAGCAGUCUGACCGCCCUGUAACUAGGGUCCGGCUCUCUGCCCACUUGCUCGUCUGGCAGUACGCCGUACACUGGCCGACUAGUCAGCGUGACAGCCCUGUCGUUUGGGUGCCUGUCACAAGUAUCUAUAGAAUGGGACAUAUUGAGCCUUUUGGUACUUUGAGGAGCUUGACCUUCCUGUAAUUUAGGUUAUGGUCUCUGCUGUUUGGCUAAUCCCUGUGACCACCCUGUAAUCAGGGUACAGGUUGCAUCUCUCUUUUGAAAUCUUUGGAAUUGGAACCAUUUCAGUAACAUGGGCAGUUUGACCUCCCUGUAACUAGGGUUUGAGUCUUGGAGGCCCUUUGGGGCUCUUGGCAUUGUGCUUUCUUCACAGCCUGAGGCGAGGGACCGCCCUGUAAUCAGGGCUCUGGUCUUUGCCCUCUAGUCUCUUGGCACUAGGUCAAGUGCAGCCCACUGAUCUGAAUGAGCACCCUGUAAACAGGGUACAGGUCUCAUCAGACACUAUUUAUGGUGCCCCCAUGAGACUGUGUCCAGAGUCCUGGCCCUUUGCACUGCUCUUUCAACUUGCCUGGAAUUGUGCAGCCAAGUCUCCUGCUUUCUGCUCCGCUUACUGUGCUCUUGGAGACCCGAGCUCCUGCUGCUGUUGCUGACAGCUCGAAGCACAAGUGGCCAAGAAGGAAGUGUCAGGAAUGUCAAGCAAAGAAGAGUACAGAGGACAAGUCACUGAAGAUGGAGGAGAAGGAAAGGGACUCUGGGCGCAGUAACCUCUCUGUAUCAGGCCUCAGGUCAUGUAAUUACACUGUACGGAGAUCUCGAGCCUUUUAAUACCUUGAGCAGCGUGACCGCCCUGUAAGCAGGGUCCAGGCCUGUGCUGUUUUGUCCUUUUGACAUUAUGCUCCGUUAGCUGGCUAGUGAGAGUGACUGCCCUGUAAUCAGGGUGCAAGUCACCUCCCCCUCGCUUUCGAGGGACAUUGAGCUCUUUGGUAACUUGAGCAAUGUGACCGCCCUGUAACUAGGGUCCGGCUCUCUGCCCACUUGCUCGUCUGGCAGUACGCCGUACACUGGCCGACUAGUCAGCGUGACAGCCCUGUCGUUUGGGUGCCUGUCACAAGUAUCUAUAGAAUGGGACAUAUUGAGCCUUUUGGUACUUUGAGGAGCUUGACCUUCCUGUAAUUCAGGUUACGGUCUCUGCUGUUUGGCUAAUCCCUGUGACCACCCUGUAAUCAGGGUACAGGUUGCAUCUCUCUUUUGAAAUCUUUGGAAUUGGAACCAUUUCAGUAACAUGGGCAGUUUGACCUCCCUGUAACUAGGGUUUGAGUCUUGGAGGCCCUUUGGGGCUCUUGGCAUUGUGCUUUCUUCACAGCCUGAGGCGAGGGACCGCCCUGUAAUCAGGGCUCUGGUCUUUGCCCUCUAGUCUCUUGGCACUAGGUCAAGUGCAGCCCACUGAUCUGAAUGAGCACCCUGUAAACAGGGUACAGGUCUCAUCAGACACUAUUUAUGGUGCCCCCAUGAGACUGUGUCCAGAGUCCUGGCCCUUUGCACUGCGCUUUCAACUUGCCUGGAAUUGUGCAGCCAAGUCUCCUGCUUUCUGCUCCGCUUACUGUGCUCUUGGAGACCCGAGCUCCUGCUGCUGUUGCUGACAGCUCGAAGCACAAGUGGCCAAGAAGCAAGUGUCAGGAAUGUCAAGCAAAGAAGAGUACAGAGGACAAGUCACUGAAGAUGGAGGAGAAGGAAAGGGACUCUGGGCGCAGUAACCUCUCUGUAUCAGGCCUCAGGUCAUGUAAUUACACUGUACGGAGAUCUCGAGCCUUUUAAUACCUUGAGCAGCGUGACCGCCCUGUAAGCAGGGUCCAGGCCUGUGCUGUUUUGUCCUUUUGACAUUAUGCUCCGUUAGCUGGCUAGUGAGAGUGACUGCCCUGUAAUCAGGGUGCAAGUCACCUCCCCCUCGCUUUCGAGGGACAUUGAGCUCUUUGGUAACUUGAGCAAUGUGACCGCCCUGUAACUAGGGUCCGGCUCUCUGCCCACUUGCUCGUCUGGCAGUACGCCGUACACUGGCCGACUAGUCAGCGUGACAGCCCUGUCGUUUGGGUGCCUGUCACAAGUAUCUAUAGAAUGGGACAUAUUGAGCCUUUUGGUACUUUGAGGAGCUUGACCUUCCUGUAAUUCAGGUUACGGUCUCUGCUGUUUGGCUAAUCCCUGUGACCACCCUGUAAUCAGGGUACAGGUUGCAUCUCUCUUUUGAAAUCUUUGGAAUUGGAACCAUUUCAGUAACAUGGGCAGUUUGACCUCCCUGUAACUAGGGUUUGAGUCUUGGAGGCCCUUUGGGGCUCUUGGCAUUGUGCUUUCUUCACAGCCUGAGGCGAGGGACCGCCCUGUAAUCAGGGCUCUGGUCUUUGCCCUCUAGUCUCUUGGCACUAGGUCAAGUGCAGCCCACUGAUCUGAAUGAGCACCCUGUAAACAGGGUACAGGUCUCAUCAGACACUAUUUAUGGUGCCCCCAUGAGACUGUGUCCAGAGUCCUGGCCCUUUGCACUGCGCUUUCAACUUGCCUGGAAUUGUGCAGCCAAGUCUCCUGCUUUCUGCUCCGCUUACUGUGCUCUUGGAGACCCGAGCUCCUGCUGCUGUUGCUGACAGCUCGAAGCACAAGUGGCCAAGAAGCAAGUGUCAGGAAUGUCAAGCAAAGAAGAGUACAGAGGACAAGUCACUGAAGAUGGAGGAGAAGGAAAGGGACUCUGGGCGCAGUAACCUCUCUGUAUCAGGCCUCAGGUCAUGUAAUUACACUGUACGGAGGUCUCGAGCCUUUUAAUACCUUGAGCAGCGUGACCGCCCUGUAAGCAGGGUCCAGGCCUGUGCUGUUUUGUCCUUUUGACAUUAUGCUCCGUUAGCUGGCUAGUGAGAGUGACUGCCCUGUAAUCAGGGUGCAAGUCACCUCCCCCUCGCUUUCGAGGGACAUUGAGCUCUUUGGUAACUUGAGCAAUGUGACCGCCCUGUAACUAGGGUCCGGCUCUCUGCCCACUUGCUCGUCUGGCAGUACGCCGUACACUGGCCGACUAGUCAGCGUGACAGCCCUGUCGUUUGGGUGCCUGUCACAAGUAUCUAUAGAAUGGGACAUAUUGAGCCUUUUGGUACUUUGAGGAGCUUGACCUUCCUGUAAUUCAGGUUACGGUCUCUGCUGUUUGGCUAAUCCCUGUGACCACCCUGUAAUCAGGGUACAGGUUGCAUCUCUCUUGAAAUCUUAUGGAAUUGGAACCAUUUCAGUAACAUGGGCAGUUUGACCUCCCUGUAACUAGGGUUUGAGUCUCGGAGGCCCUUUGGGGCUCUUGGCAUUGUGCUUUCUUCACAGCCUGAGGCGAGGGACCGCCCUGUAAUCAGGGCUCUGGUCUUUGCCCUCUAGUCUCUUGGCACUAGGUCAAGUGCAGCCCACUGAUCUGAAUGAGCACCCUGUAAACAGGGUACAGGUCUCAUCAGACACUAUUUAUGGUGCCCCCAUGAGACUGUGUCCAGAGUCCUGGCCCUUUGCACUGCGCUUUCAACUUGCCUGGAAUUGUGCAGCCAAGUCUCCUGCUUUCUGCUCCGCUUACUGUGCUCUUGGAGACCUGAGCUCCUGCUGCUGUUGCUGACAGCUCGAAGCACAAGUGGCCAAGAAGGAAGUGUCAGGAAUGUCAAGCAAAGAAGAGUACAGAGGACAAGUCACUGAAGAUGGAGGAGAAGGAAAGGGACUCUGGGCACAGUAACCUCCCUGUAAUCAGACCUCAGGUCAUGUAGUGACACUCUACAGGGAUCUCGAGCUUUUUAAUCCCUUGAGCAGCGUGACCGCCCUGUAAGCAGGGACCAGGUCUGUGCUGUUUUGUCCUUUUGACAUUAUGUUCCACUUGCUGGCUAGUGAGAGUGACUGCCCUGUAAUCAGGGUGCAAGUCACCUCCCCCUCGCUUUCGAGGGACAUUGAGCUCUUUGGUAACUUGAGCAAUGUGACCGCCCUGUAACUAGGGUCCGGCUCUCUGCCCACUUGCUCGUCUGGCAGUACGCCGUACACUGGCCGACUAGUCAGCGUGACAGCCCUGUCGUUUGGGUGCCUGUCACAAGUAUCUAUAGAAUGGGACAUAUUGAGCCUUUUGGUACUUUGAGGAGCUUGACCUUCCUGUAAUUUAGGUUAUGGUCUCUGCUGUUUGGCUAAUCCCUGUGACCACCCUGUAAUCAGGGUACAGGUUGCAUCUCUCUUUUGAAAUCUUAUGGAAUUGGAACCAUUUCAGUAACAUGGGCAGUUUGACCUCCCUGUAACUAGGGUUUGAGUCUUGGAGGCCCUUUGGGGCUCUUGGCAUUGUGCUUUCUUCACAGCCUGAGGCGAGGGACCGCCCUGUAAUCAGGGCUCUGGUCUUUGCCCUCUAGUCUCUUGGCACUAGGUCAAGUGCAGCCCACUGAUCUGAAUGAGCACCCUGUAAACAGGGUACAGGUCUCAUCAGACACUAUUUAUGGUGCCCCCAUGAGACUGUGUCCAGAGUCCUGGCCCUUUGCACUGCGCUUUCAACUUGCCUGGAAUUGUGCAGCCAAGUCUCCUGCUUUCUGCUCCGCUUACUGUGCUCUUGGAAACCCAACCUCCAGCUGCUGUUGCUGCAUUGCAAGUCUGCUGUAACUGUCUUGCACGCCCUUUACAUCCUCUUAAGAAGAAUGGGACAAAACAGAAGCACCCAACCGAAAAACGAGAAAAGAGACGCUAACAGCCUGUGAAGAAGAAGAAAGGAAACAAAUUCUGAGAGCAAAUGUAGUUGUGUGAUCUAUUUCAAAGGUUUAUACCAUGUCCAGCACCAUGGCAUAUGAGUGCAUUGGAAAGAUAAAUUGAACAAAGUGACUCGCAUCUGUCACCUUUCAAAUGCUGAUUUAUGUUAAUAGGCAAUAUACAACAAACUCUGAAGCUCAAUUACUUGUGGCACCACAGCAUAGCCUGAAGACUGGAUAACAAUUUCCUGCUAUGACCUUUCAGUUCUGUAACUACCUGUGCCACAUGAGAACUGAUGUAUCAUCUUAUUUUAUAAUCAUGUAUGUCCUCUCUAAUUGUCUUUUAUUAAUGAGUCCAUAAAGCAUGCUUUGUACAUCAUACUUUCACAUUCUAGUAGAAAAGUGGGAUGUAUUUUUUAUUUAAUUAAUCUUUAUAAUUCUUUGACGAGUCAUUUUCAUGUCAUUGCUUAGUGAUUUGGACUUCUGUUUAGCAAGAAGUCAGUUUUAUUUCCUUAAAGUCACUGUAAGCUACAACAAGUUGUUCAAAGCUGAAAAACUGUUUGAAAAAGAUGGAAGAAAACCGAGAUGUAGGGUGGCCACCCUGAAGAGUGUUGGAAAACCUUUUUCAAUAGGCACACUAUUCACCUUUCUCCUUUUUCUCAGCCCAUUUUUUAUACCAAAACAGUACCAUAGCAAUGAUACCAUAUGGAAUGAUACUAAGUUUCUACCUAUCGCCAAUUAGAAAUUGUCAGUACAACUGGUUAUUUGCAUCUAAGUGUUGAUUUUAUGUAGAUAUGUAACCAAAUAUUUUAGAAAUAUUUUAACAAGGUGACUACCUGAUUUUAUGUAAAAGAGUUACACACAUCUUAGAAAAUGUGUUCCUUUGACUUAAGUGUGUGACUUUUACAUAGUUGGGCGACUAAUGCUUUUGUACUUAUUGUUUUUACUAACAGGUUUGUCACUAGGCACAAAGGAAUAAUUGUGAAUCUGUAAUGCAGAGAUUUUAAACACACAAGCACUUCUAUUAUUAAGAAAUAAAUCAUAAUUUCCUGCUGGAAAUGCAAAGAUGUAACUGAAGGGAGGCAUGUGUUUGUAUUCUCCACUUACCCCAAGCUCCCCUCAAAAAAACUCUUCAAAAAAGUUAAUGUUGAAAAGAUUAACAUUUACUCCAGAUACUGUCUAACUUCAUAUUUUUAAAGCUCUGUAUCUCUCACGCAUCGCUAAAAACAAGCAACCAAAACUAAAUGUUGUUCUGGAAACUGGCAGUUAUUCCCCGCACUUCACAACUUUCAAACACCUACUCUACUUCAACGGUCACACCGACCAAACUGUACCACACAUUCAAUUUUAACUUUGCACCUAUUGUGUCAGAACAGUUAGAGUAUUUUUUGGUAGUUGUGUAUAUUGAUGUACGUGGUAAUAGUGGUGUUUUAAUGGAUUUUUAUGCUUAUUGAAUUAAGUGGAUCCUUGAGGAUGAUGAUAUGGAUGUUUUAGGUAGGUAUUUUUCUGUGAAGUGUUAGUAUUUUUGAAGAGGCGCAGUAUUUUGUGAUGAUGACUGUUUCUCGGGUAUUGGUUUACAGUGAAUUGUUGAAAAUCUUAGAUGUUUUUGCAUUUGUAUAUUAUUAGAUGUACUUAGGGUGCAAAGUUGAGGUUGCCUGUUUGGUGCAAUUUUAUUGGUGUGAAAGUUAAUUUAGGGUAGGUGUUUGAAAGCACUGAAGUUUGAAUUUUAAGCUCAACAGGGAUCCAGGACCUACCUGGCUACCUCAGUUCUUACCGUCAUUACUAAUUCCAAAAUCUGGGAUGAAGAUGACCCAGCAAAAUAAAGAUAUCUUUAGAGAUUUUCAAAAGUUAACAUUUCUUCAGCUGUUGGAGGUCACUAAAACCUUAUUGAGCUUUUUGAAGUGCAAUAACUGGAAAACUUUUUACUUCUAUUUCUGCCAGUUAAGUGUUGAACAAUGACCUUUAUUAAAAGAUUUACACUGGUAAUUAAUUCUGUUCUGUACUAAGAUCUUGCUAAUAUCACCAUUUUAUGAUGUAUGAAGUGAAUUAACUAGAUUUGAUUAUACCUACUUGAUAAAUAUUGGAAUAUUGCAUGUUAAAUUCAUACAUUUAACUUUGACUGUCAUAUCAACUUACUUUGCUUUCUGUAACUCUUUGUUUAUUAAUAUAUUUAUUAAUAGUUAUGUAAUUAAAUUAAUAAAAUAUAUAAAUUCAGGUGUAGUCUCAGUUCUGUCUUUGGCU